rnacentral:rRNA from 1 species
UUCCGGUUGAUCCCGCCGGAGGCUACCGCUAUUGGAGUUCGAUUAAGCCAUGCGAGUCGCGAGUCUUAGGGACUCGGCGUACCGCUCAGUAACACGUGGGUAACCUGCCCUAUGCUGGGGGAUAACCUCGGGAAACUGAGAAUAAUACCCCAUAGUUCACCACGCCUGGAACGGUGGGUGGAUCAAAGCUCCGGCGGCAUAGGAUGGGCCUGCGGCGUAUCAGGUUGUAGGGGGUGUAAUGUACCCUCUAGCCCUCUACGCGUACGGGUGUUGAGAGACAUCGCCCGGAGAUGGAUUCUGAGACACGAAUCCAGACCCUACGGGGUGCAGCAGGCGCGAAAACUUGGCAAUGCGAGAAAUCGUGACCAGGGAACUCCAAGUGCAUCGGGUAAGACCGAUGCUUUUCUUGACUCUUCAAAGGUCUUGGAAUAAGGGGUGGGUAAGGACGGUGCCAGCCGCCGCGGUAAUACCGGCGCCCCAAGUGGUAGUCGCUUUUAUUGGGCCUAAAACGUCCGUAGCCGGUCUGGUACAUUCGUGGGUAAAUCAACCAGCUCAACUGGUUGAAUUCUGCGAGCACGGCCAGACUUGGGACCGGGAGAGGUGUGGGGUACUCUCAGGGUAGGGGUAAAAUCCUGUCAUCCUGAGAGGACCACCUGUUGCGAAGGCGCCACACUAGAACGGAUCCGACGGUCAGGGACGAAGCCUAGGGGCACGAACCGGAUUAGAUACCCGGGUAGUCCUAGGUGUAAACGCUGUGGACUUGAUGUUGGGGGCGCUCCGAGCGCACUCAGUGUCGAAGCGAAGGUGAUAAGUCCACUGCCUGGGGAGUACGGUCGCAAGGCUGAAACUUAAAGGAAUUGGCGGGGGAGCACCGCAACCUGAGGAUUGUGCGGUUUAAUUGGAGUCAACGCCGG